UUUUCGUGUGUUUGUAGGUCCAUAGGCCUUAUAAAGCAAUACGGUGCAUUUUGGUGCAUUUUGGAGCAGUUUUGGGCUUGGAAUGGAUAACACAUGCAUGGAGCAAGGUGGAUGGAUGAAAUUGAAGACUAAAGUGGCUAGGAAUGUGUUAAAGAGAAAGAAGAAUUAAUUUAAAAAGGACAAAGAGCUCAGCAACCAAAGAAGAAACAUGAGCCAAGAUUACCUUAUUUUGAUUUAACCUUUCUUAAUCCUAAUCCAACUAAGUUCCAGCCACAAGGAAGGUUCCCCAAAGAUAUUAGGACACUAAAUAAAGGAUUCUAGAAGCCUUAAUCUCAGCCACAAAGGGGUGUCACUCCACCUUUUCUCUUCCAUGCCGUGCCAUCAUCAUUGUCCCCUCCAUUGAUCCAGAUUUCAUGCACCAUUACACUCCCUUUCCUUUCCCAUGCCGGACAUCAUCAUCCAUGUUCCCUCCUUGCACUCAUUUGUUGCACCAUUCCACUUCCUUUCCUUUGUCUACCAUGUGCACAAUAUUCUUGUCCACUCCUUGCACUCAUUGAUGCACCACUCCUUCACCUUUCCACCCAUGUCGUGCAUCAUCAUCAUUGUCCCCUUCAUGCACUCAUUUGAUGCACCAUUUCAUUGAUUCAUUGCUGCACCAUUCCUUGUUCCCUCCAUCAUAUAAGGUUUCAUGCAUCAUUUCAUCAUUUUAACCUCCACUCCAUGCACUCAUUGCUACACCGUCCUUCACUUUAACCCCCCCAUGUCGUGCAUCAUCACUCCACUUUCACCCUUGUUUCAUUUCUGCAUCAUUUCACCUCCUGAUAGGAGCAUAUUUAUGCGCCUUAGUUAGCUUGUUCUUGUGCAUUUACGUUGUUUUUCCUUAGUUAAAGUAGUCUUUUAAGCUAGUUUUAUGUGUUUUCAGGUUUUAAGGGCAAAGUAUGCAAAAGGGUGCAUUUUGGAGCCUGUUGGAGCAAAUUAGAGCUUGGAAUGAAGAUCAUAUGCUUGGAGCCAUGAGGAUGGACGAAAUUGAAGAUUUGAAGAUGAUGUUUCCUACUUGAACAAGGUUUCCUAGUUGAAGUAGGAAAGUCCCUAAUUGAAGAUGGAAUCCUAGUUGAAUUGGGAUUCCUAGUUGAAAUAGGUUUCCUAGUGAAAUUGGGAUUCUUAGAAGAUGAAGUUCCCUACUCAAACAAGGUUUCCUACUUGAAGUAGGAAAGUUAAAUCCAAAUGGCAUCAAGUUUCAGCAACAAAGAAGUUUUCCAAGUCCAAGAAGGAAAAGGAAUCCAAGAUGAAGAAGGAUUGACAAAGACAAACUUUCCUAAUCCUAAUGUACAAAGAUUUCAGCUGCAAAGAUGAGUCCUAAACACUUUAGGACACCUUAUCCCUUCACAAUCAGCCUUAUCCCUUAGUGUCACACCUAUUCCCUUCUAGAAAUCUGAUUUCCUUGCCUUGCAAGGCUUUCUAGAAGCCUUAUCCACCUUAUCUCUUACCUGCCGCACCUAGGAGGCCUUUUCCUUUGCAAAAUCUGAUUGUUUAAACCUAUUUCCUUGUGGAUUUGGGUUAUCCAAGUCCAUAUCUAAUUACCCUAGGGUUUUAAGUGCCUAUAUAUACUCAUAUUAACCCCUAGAUCAGAUCACCACCUCUCAUACACAUCAAUUCACGCCAGAAAUCAUUCCUUGCUCUCUGCCGCACCCUUCCACCACCAUUCUCCCAAAUUUCUGCCUAAAAACAACCCUAGCCGCACCACCUAUCAACCCUAAAGCCUUCCAUACCAUUCCCCAUCCAUUCUACACCACAAAUAACCCCAAAAACCUGUCUAAAGUUCUCUGCCGCAGCAAGGAGGAAGGAGGAUUCUUGGAUGCACUUGCUGCCACGUUGGAGCAUUCUAGGUGUUUUCUUUCCUUUGAUUUUAAUUUCUAAACUUAUCUAUCGUUGCUUUGCGAGUAUGAGGAACUAAACCCCCUUGGCUAGGGGGGGAUUCAAAACCAUGAUUAUGCUUGCUAUAUGAUUUGAUUACUUUCAAUUGCGUUUCAUAAGUCGUGGAUUCAAUUUACUUAUCUAUAUGAAUUAAAACUAAUUUGUGUAUGUUGGUUGAGAGUGCACGCUUAAUUUUCAUGCAUGAGUUGAUGCUAGAAUGUAAGGGAAUUUCACCUAAUCGUUAUAAACUUAUAUUCAAAAGUAGUAAAGGUUGUUAAUCACAAUCAUGUUAAGUAAAUUCUUGGCAUAAGUUUCAUGCAGUCAUAGUAACAAGUGCUUCGUCAAUGCUUAUGGUUUUCAUAGAACUUAAUGAUUCUUGCUUGUAUCUCUAUUAUGCAAUCAUGUAGGGGACUUGUGGGGAAUGCUUUGGGUUGUCGUAUGCAAUCAUCCAAUUCAAUAACGUUAGGAAAAUCUGAAGGUUAAUUUAAGCGGACCUAAUUAACUUGGGGCGUUGAGAAUUCAUGGGUUAUUGAAAAGCAAUUGGAAAUCGUUUUGAAUGCAAGUAUAACAUGUGUGGAGAUGAACCCCUUAGCUAGCUUUCCAUCCAUUCAUUUAAGCCAAAUUCGUUUUAAAAUCUGUUCUAGUUUACAAAGUUUUGUUUUGUUUUUAAAUUCGUCCAAAAUCAAUCCCCCUUUUCUUUGUUGAGUCAUAUUAGUUAGAAGUCAAGUUAGUUUGUGUUUUUAAGUGUUUUGAGUCAAGUUAAAACCUAAUUUCGUCCAAGUUUGUGUCUAGUGUUCAAAACUGCCCAGAUUGUGUUUUUAAGGCAGUUUUGAGUGUUUUGGUGCUGUUUUGAGUCUUUUGGUUUGUUUUGGUAUUUCCAAGUUUAGUUUUGCAUUCUUUGAGUCUAGUUUAGUGUUUUAAACUUGUUUUUACGUAUUUGAGUCAGUUUUCAAGUGAUUUAGCAAUCCCUCCUAAUCCCCGGCCUAGAACGAUCCCUACUUACAUACUUACUACAAUUGAUAAAAAGAGGGUUACUCCAUGCACUCAUUGCUACACCGUCCUUCACUUUAACCCCCCCAUGUCGUGCAUCAUCACUCCACUUUCACCCUUGUUUCAUUUCUGCAUCAUUUCACCUCCCUUUCCUUUCUCUACCAUGUGCACAAUCAUUCAUGUCCCCUACAUGCACUCAUUGCUACACCAUCCCUCAACUUUCACCCUCCAUGCCGUGCAUCAUUAACCUCCCAUCCUUGCACUCAUUACUGCACACACCACUCCCUUUUCUUUCCCCAGUUGUGCACUCCUUCUAUAAAAGGAAGUGUGUGUAACAGCCAUAAGGGUUCAGUUUACAAAUAGAUCAUUCACCACCAUUUCAACACAACCUUCAUCCAUAAACAUCCAUUCAUCUUCUCAGCUAUUCUUCCAUACAAAUCACCACCCAAACCUUACACCAAACCUUGUGCCGUGAGUGAAGAAAGAAGGAAGAACUCUUGGAUGUUCAAGCUUAAUUGUUAAAGCAUUCGGGGUGUAGUUCAUUCUAUAUUUACAAUGUUUAAAUUCAUUUUCUUUCGUUUUGUUGUGAACAUGAGUGGCUAAACCCUUCUUGGCUAGGGGUAAUUUCAAAGCCAUGAUUAUGUGUGCAAUAUGAGUGACAUGAUGUCAUAGUUCUUGGAAGUAUGCCCACAAAGCCACUCAUUUGAUGUAAUAGCUUUUGGAAUACUUAUUGUAUUAAACUUUUAUAUGUUUAAUAAAGGGCAAAGCUUAUUGUUAAUCACUAUUUAUUGUAUCAUGUGUUUAAGCAAUAAGGGAAUCCAAGGAAUGUAUUUGAUCUAAGAGAUAAGUGAUUUAAGUAAGUUAGAUUAACGAGACCAUUCUCUUAUGUUCAUUCCUAAAACGUUCCUAGCCAUAGGAUUGCCAAUUGGGCAUUGACAAUCCGCUAAGGUUAGUAUGUGUUAUGUUGACUCAAUCGUGAGUAUGACAAGUCUCAAGUCAUUUAGUGUUGGACACUAAGAUAAACACAUAGGUGCUCGAAAGAGUAAUCGAGUACACUGAACAACGAUCAAAAGAGAGUUCAAACAUACAUGUCAUGUAAGAACUCGAUAGUUGCAUUAUGCAAAGUAGUCCUUUGACCUGAGGCAUCAUAGAUGUCUAAUGGUUAGGUCCUUGAUCUUUGAUCAUGUUAAAUGGCAUUCCAUUGGAAUGUCCACGACAUUGUUGGGAUCAAGCUAUCUA
rnacentral:lncRNA from 1 species